CCUACGAGUGGCAGCAGUGGGGAAUAUUGCACAAUGGGGGAAACCCUGAUGCAGCAACGCCGCGAGAGUGAAGGAGUAUUUCGGUAUGUAAAGCUCUAUCAUUAGGGAAGAAGAAAGACGGUACCUGACUAAGAAGCUCCGGCUAACUACGUGCCAGCAGCCGAGGUAAUACGUAGGGGGCAAGCGUUAUCCGGAUUUACUGGGGGGAAAGGGCGCGUAGACGGCUGUGCAAGUCUGAAGUGAAAGCCCGUGGCUCUACCGCGGAACUGCUUGGGAAACUGUAUGGCUUGAGUACUGGAGAGGCAGGCGUAAUUCCUAGUGUAGCGGGGAAAUGCGUAGAUAUUAGGAGGAACACCAGUGGCGAAGGCGGCCUGCUGGACAGAAACUGACGUUGAGGCUCGAAAGCGUGGGGAGCAAACAGGAUUAGAUACCCCUGUAGUC
rnacentral:rRNA from 1 species